GAUGUGGAAUAGAGUUCCAUGUAGUCAUGGCUCUAUGUAGUACUGUGUGUGAGGUAUGUAGUCAUGGCUCUAUGUAGUACCUCCUCGUGAGGUAGAUGACCAGGGUUUUUUUCUGUUUCUGAUUCAAUGUAUCAUUAGGUUUGAUGCAGUGUGUGAUCUGUGUUGCUGAUAAAAUCUUCAAUGUCUUCCUCAAAAUUAUGGCUGAAAAGAAACCACAAACAGUAUUUGCCAAAAUCAUAACUGGAGCUGGACAUCUUUCAAGCUGAAGAUUGAGGCCAGAUUUUGUAUGCUAGCGUACACUCCUUAACAGUUUUACUGGAUGAAAACACAGCAAGAAAAGACAGAUACAGGCAGACUUUGCAGUGCCUCCGUGUGCGACUACCUUGAGCAGCAGUUUGAGGGACUUCGAUGGGAUAAUACCGUGCAGUGAGGCGUAGGGGAUUGUCCCCAGCAGGGCGACCCCCAAUGGAUGGGCGCCGAGGGGUGUGGUGCUCCUCCAGCAGCUCUCUCAUGAGGUUCUCUCUAUACUUUUGGUAAUCCACCUUUCCUGUGGCCGACUUGGUUGCUGUAUGGACAGUGGAGAGGACACGGACGUCUCGUUUGUCAUGCCACUUUACUGCCAGCUGUUAACAUUUCUUAUUUUGUAUAACGGGUCAUUUAGG